rnacentral:pre_miRNA from 1 species
UUAACUCAAAUUUGUAUGAAUUUGGGACGUUUGCUUACAUUUGCAAGGCACGCCGUUCGAACUGCAUACAAAUUUGAGUUA